rnacentral:rRNA from 1 species
GCUGGCGGCGUGCCUAACACAUGCAAGCGAACGGACUGUUGACCUUCGGGGCAACAGUUAGUGGCGAACGGGUGAGUAACGCGUGGGUAACCUGCCCUUAUAUCGGGGAUAACUUGCCGAAAGGUGAGCUAAUACCGGAUGACCUAUAGAGAUUGCAUAAUCUUAAUAGCAAAGGUGGCCUCUGAAUAUGCUACCGUAUAAGGAUGGAACCCGCGUCUGAUUAGCUAGUUGGUGAGGUAGAGGCUCACCAAGGCGACGAUCAGUAGCCGGCCUGAGAGGGUGAACGGCCACACUGGGACUGAGACACGGCCCAGACUCCUACGGGAGGCAGCAGUGGGGAAUCUUCCGCAAUGGACGAAAGUCUGACGGAGCAACGCCGCGUGAGUGAAGAAGGUCUUCGGAUUGUAAAACUCUGUCGUUUUGGGACGAACGGCAUAUGUGUGAAUAAUGCGUAUGAUUGACGGUACCAAAGGAGGAAGCCCCGGCUAACUACGUG